ACACAUAUUAGAGGUUGUGUUGAGAUAAAACACUAACAUUUCUACAUAUAGUUAAAUGUUGCUCAGUUUCCUCCUUAAGCAGUUCCUGCUCCCUUGAAUUGUUGCUCUCCCUUACCCUUUUCUCUCUUUCUGUUUUGCGGUAUGAGCAAGUUGAGAGAACCUCUGAUAUGCAAUCAACAAAUUUUGCAGCUUGGUGUUUACUUAAAUUUGAACCCGG
rnacentral:lncRNA from 1 species